rnacentral:rRNA from 1 species
CAGAUUGAACGCUGGCGGCAGGCCUAACACAUGCAAGUCGAGCGGUAGCACAGAGAGCUUGCUCUCGGGUGACGAGCGGCGGACGGGUGAGUAAUGUCUGGGAAACUGCCUGAUGGAGGGGGAUAACUACUGGAAACGGUAGCUAAUACCGCAUAACGUCGCAAGACCAAAGAGGGGGACCUUCGGGCCUCUUGCCAUCAGAUGUGCCCAGAUGGGAUUAGCUAGUAGGUGGGGUAACGGCUCACCUAGGCGACGAUCCCUAGCUGGUCUGAGAGGGUGACCAGCCACACUGGAACUGAGACACGGUCCAGACUCCUACGGGAGGCAGCAGUGGGGAAUAUUGCACAAUGGGCGCAAGCCUGAUGCAGCCAUGCCGCGUGUAUGAAGAAGGCCUUCGGGUUGUAAAGUACUUUCAGCGGGGAGGAAGGCGAUAAGGUUAAUAACCUUGUCGAUUGACGUUACCCGCAGAAGAAGCACCGGCUAACUCCGUGCCAGCAGCCGCGGUAAUACGGAGGGUGCAAGCGUUAAUCGGAAUUACUGGGCGUAAAGCGCACGCAGGCGGUCUGUCAAGUCGGAUGUGAAAUCCCCGGGCUCAACCUGGGAACUGCAUUCGAAACUGGCAGGCUAGAGUCUUGUAGAGGGGGGUAGAA